UAGCCUAUCGUUCCCGUUGAAUCGGAGCC
rnacentral:piRNA from 1 species